rnacentral:tRNA from 1 species
GCCGGAGUGGCGGAAUUGGUAGACGCAAGGGACUUAAAAUCCCUCGUCCCUAAAGGGCGUACCGGUUCGAGUCCGGUCUCCGGCACCA